rnacentral:rRNA from 1 species
UACGUAGGGUGCAAGCGUUGUCCGGAAUCACUAGGCGUAAAGCGCAGGUAGGCGGUUUGAUAAGUCUGUUGUGAAAGCUCCCGGCUUAACUGGGAGAGGUCAACGGAAACUAUCAGGCUAGAGUGUGGUAGAGGUAGCUGGAAUUCCCGGUGUAGCGGUGAAAUGCGUAGAUAUCGGGAGGAAUACCUAUGGCGAAAGCAGGCUACUGGACCAUCACUGACGCUGGAUCUGCGAAAGCUAGGGGAGCAAACAGG